UACAGAGGGUGCGAGCGUUGUUCGGAAUUAUUGGGCGUAAAGCGCAUGUAGGCGGGUUGUUAAGUCGCGUGUGAAAGCCCCAGGCUCAACCUGGGAAGUGCGCGCGAAACUGGCGACCUUGAGUGCUGGAGAGGGUGGCGGAAUUCCCGGUGUAGAGGUGAAAUUCGUAGAUAUCGGGAGGAACACCAGAGGCGAAGGCGGCCGCCUCGGAGAGACAACUCG
rnacentral:rRNA from 1 species